GUUAUAGGGUCAAGCGAACAAGUGCAUGUGGUGGAUGCCUUGGCGAUCACAGGCGAUGAAGGACGCGGUAGCCUGCGAAAAGCUACGGGGAGCUGGCAAACAAGCUUUGAUCCGUAGAUGUCCGAAUGGGGAAACCC
rnacentral:rRNA from 1 species